rnacentral:lncRNA from 1 species
GGCCCCAUCAUAAUUAGUCAUCAAAGUUUUGUUGUUUUCAUCCCGAUCGCCAACUGCCACUAGGACUGUUUUUAUGUUUCAAGAGUUGAUGUAGGAUCUUUUAAAUGUUCACAAUGAAGAAAUCAUCCAUGAAAAAAAUUCUCUCAAGUUGCUAAGCCAAAGCACUUCAUAGAAUAGAUUUUCACAAAUCUAGCUAAGAGGAUUUGGGA